AUUGAACGCUGGCGGCAGGCCUAACACAUGCAAGUCGAGCGGAUGAGCGGAGCUUGCUCCUUGAUUUAGCGGCGGACGGGUGAGGAAUGCCUAGGAAUCUGCCUGGUAGUGGGGGAUAACGUUCCGAAAGGAACGCUAAUACCGCAUACGUCCUACGGGAGAGAGCAGGGGACCUUCGGGCCUUGCGCUAUCAGAUGAGCCUAGGUCGGAUUAGCUAGUUGGUGAGGUAAUGGCUCACCAAGGCGACGAUCCGUAACUGGUCUGAGAGGAUGAUCAGUCACACUGGAAGUGAGACACGGUCCAGACGACUACGGGAGGCAGCAGUGGGGAAUAUUGGACAAUGGGCGAAAGCCUGAUACAGCCAUGCCGAGUGUGUGAAGAAGGUCUUCGGAUUGUAAAGCACUUUAAGUUGGGAGGAAGGGCAGUAAGCUAAUACCUUGCUGUUUUGACGUUACCGACAGAAUAAGCACCGGCUAACUUCGUG
rnacentral:rRNA from 1 species